rnacentral:rRNA from 1 species
UGAAUUAAAUAAAAAUCAGGUAUGGCCUGCUCACUGAGUAUUAAACUUAAAGAGCCGAAUACGGCAAAGGUAGCAUAAUAACUUGUUACUUAAUUAGUAAAUCGAAUAAAAGGUUUGACGAAAAAUAUUCUAUUUCUUAUUUUAUUUAAUUUAGUAUAAAAAUUAAAAAAUUUUUUUAUUCAAGAAAGACGAUAAGACCCUAAAACCUUUACGGUUAAAUAUAAAUAACUUUUUAUUGGGGAGAUAAAUAAUUUUAAACUUUAUAAAAUUAAACAUAAUGAAUGAAAUUUUUAAACUUUAAAUAAUAUCAAAUAGGUACUUUAGGGAUAACAGCAUAAUUUUUAUAAACAGACAAAAUACAAAUGGACAUAAAAGCUUAUGACCUCGAUGUUGAGUUGAUACACUUUACGAAGCAAGCCCUGUAAAACGUAGGACUGUUAGGCCUUUAAUUUAUC